rnacentral:tRNA from 4 species
GCUGCCGUAGCUCAGUCGGUAGAGCAACUGAUUCGUAAUCAGUAGGUCGCCAGUUCGAUUCCGGCCGGCAGCACCA